AACGAACGCUGGCGGCAGGCUUAACACAUGCAAGUCGAGCGCCCCGCCAGGGGAGCGGCAGACUGGUGAGUAACGCGUGGGAACGUACCUUUUGGUUCGGAACAACUCCGGGAAACUGGAGCUAAUACCGGAUAAGCCCUAACGGGGAAAGAUUUAUCGCCGAAAGAUCGGCCCGCGUCUGAUUAGCUAGUUGGUGAGGUAACGGCUCACCAAGGCGACGAUCAGUAGCUGGUCUGAGAGGAUGAUCAGCCACACUGGGACUGAGACACGGCCCAGACUCCUACGGGAAGCAGCAGUGGGGAAUAUUGGACAAUGGGCGCAAGCCUGAUCCAGCCAUGCCGCGUGAGUGAUGAAGGCCUUAGGGUUGUAAAGCUCUUUUGUCCGGGAAGAUAAUGACUGUACCGGAAGAAUAAGCCCCGGCUAACUUCGUG
rnacentral:rRNA from 1 species